AUGUCACCACAGACUCGCUCUUUCUAUCAUCCUUGUAGUCAUCAGAGUUCCUCUUAACUUGGAGGCAGGUCGUUUUGCUCUCCUUAGCUUUGCUGCUUGUUUCUCCAUCCUCCAGGCUCUCCUUGGCAGCUGUAGCAUCCUGAUCAGAAAUGCACGAGGUUUCUGAUUUGUCAGAGAGCAGCUUGUUCGAGGAGUCAGCUGCGCUUGAAUCCUCUGAGUUAGCUGAUGCUCGCUGAGUUGCGAUCAGAUAGUGCGCCACAGAUUUGUACCCAAGUCUGACAGCCUGCAAAAUGGAAAACAACCAUGUUCUCAGAACCACUGUAUCCAUUCAUAUAUGCAUACUAGCAACAUGAGAUCUAGUUCAUCAUUUAGCUUCUUCCUAUUAUUUUUAUCAGUCAUCAUGAUCCAAACAUGUGGGGCUAUGCUAGAGUCGAAACCUAACAAUAGCCACAUGAUCACCAAAGAGAGAUAAUAUUAUACAAUAUAGUAUAAAUUAACUGCAAUGAAUGCAUGAAGUUACUUCAGCUUCUAAUAAAAGUAUGGGAUGUCCAAGUGUAAAAUGUGUAUUUAU
rnacentral:lncRNA from 1 species